UACGUAGGGCGCAAGCGUUGUCCGGAAUUAUUGGGCGUAAAGAGCUCGUAGGCGGCCUGUUGCGUCCGCUGUGAAAUCCCGGGGCUCAACCCCGGGCCUGCAGUGGAUACGGGCUGGCUAGAGGCAGGCAGGGGAGAACGGAAUUCCUGGUGUAGCGGUGAAAUGCGCAGAUAUCAGGAGGAACACCGGUGGCGAAGGCGGGUCUCUGGGCCGUAACUGACGCUGAGGAGCGAAAGCGUGGGGAGCGAACAGG
rnacentral:rRNA from 1 species